rnacentral:lncRNA from 1 species
UUGAACAUUAAAAUGUGAUACAACACCACCUAACUAAAAAGGAGUAGGGAUUAAAAAGUUCUUGUUGCCUCCUCUAUAAAGCUCGAAACUACAAUAAACUAUCCAAACUACAAAUUGCACAAAAACAAUGGCAUUGGAGACGAAGGGACAAAUCAAGUAACCAUGAUAUAACAUAAAGAUCACCAUGUUGAUUAUUCUCAGGAUCUGCGUCAACACUUUUGGGAACACGUGUACCAAAACGAUGGUGAAUCCUCCUCCGCAUCAUCCUCCACCACCACCACAGUGUACAACAACUUCAUUAACCCCUCUGUAGCUGCCAUUCCUCCACCUGCACAUGCAAACCACACAAAUUUUGGUUUCAACCAAAGAAUUUAAUCAGGUCGUAAUUUCCUUAUAACAAUUCAUGCUAGAGCAUAAAUUGUUAGACCCUUGCACGUAAUAAUCAAACAAAGAUACUGCCCAAAGAAUUUAAUCAGGUCGUAAUUUCCUUAUAACUUCAUAAUAAUCAAACAAACAUACUGCCCAAAGACAACAUCCACAUUAGACCCUUGCACAUGGCAUACAUUUUACAAACCCAAAAAGUGUGACACCCAUCAGACAAAGCAACAUCAUUGCAGACAAUAAACUUACAGUCUCAUUGAGUAUUACAUGGAAAGUGAACAAAACAGUGAAACAAAUAUUUACCAAGUUCCACCAACAAAUUCAUAUUUUAUACAUAAAUUUCCUUCACAACAAUAUGAUACCAAGAGCUUCUGGUUCUUCUUCCUUUUCCAAUACAAUUUUCUCUUGUAUUGGCCAUUAAUUCGAUAUAUCCGAUGCUAAUAAAGUCUUUUGGAUUCUUCUUCCUUCUCUAUUUCAGUUCCUCCUUUUGUUUUCCCAUACCUUACAAUAUUUUCCCAUCCAGGAGAGAGAGGGUUGAUUCACUCCUCUAAUACCCAUUUCCUUGGAAUGGUAAGUAACACAUACUACAAUUGCUGAGAAAUAUCAGUGUAGCAACAACAGAUGUGAUCUUCACAGUCAGAUUGUUGAUGAGGAAGCAGUCAAUUAAUUUGGAUAUUGCUCGUCUUAGUAUACUGUAACUUUUCAGUGAGAGCCUCAAUAAUUAUGCCAGAUAAAAAUUAGAUAUUCAAUCUUAAAGAAAGAGCAUGUUCGGAAAGAUCACUUAUAAGUAAAUAAGUUUUCACAUAAUUAAUAUAUUUAAAAUUGAUUAAAAUUGGAAUAAAUUACUUGUUUUGACAGCAAUUCAAAGAAAAUAUGAGAACGGUACACAAAUCAAAGUAACAGAUAAAAAAGUUACGAAAAACGAGCAGGCUUUAAGGGGUUUCACGUUCUUCUUCUGCUAUGCAGGUGCUUUGGUUGAAUCGCCGGAGGAAAUGUGGAAUCAAAGGUCGCCGGCUACCGCGUCUUCCUACUGCCAUCUAUGGAUGGAAAACAAGGCAGAACCGCAAGGCCCACAACAGAUCCCGGAUUGAGAAGAUUGAAUGGGGGAGAAGACUGGCUGUGUAGUGUUUUUUGUCCAUUUAUAUGACUCUGUCAGAGCCCGAAGUUGAAUGGCAGAGGCGAAGGCUGAGACGGGAGGAAGAGCCGGAGAAGGAUGAAGGAAUGAUUUAGAAUUAUUUUGUGUGUUUAUCAUUUGAGCCCGUAUAUAUUUGUUUUGGGGAAAAAAAG